UUGCUCACUUUGGCAGCACAUACACUAAAACUGGAAGGAUAAAAAGAAAAUUAGCAUGGCUCCUGCACAACAAUGACACACAAAUUUGUGAAGCAUUCGUUU